rnacentral:tRNA from 1 species
GCGCUGGUGGUGUAGCGGUAUCACAGGACCCUGCCACGGUCCUAACCCGGGUUCAAAUCCCGGCCAGCGCA